GCUAACUCCGUGCCAGCAGCCGCGGUAAUACGGAGGGUCCAAGCGUUAUCCGGAAUCAUUGGGUUUAAAGGGUCCGCAGGCGGGCUAUUAAGUCAGUGGUGAAAUCUCUUGGCUUAACCAAGAAAUUGCCAUUGAAACUACUAGUCUUGAAUUCGGUCGAAGUGGGCGGAAUGUGUCAUGUAGCGGUGAAAUGCAUAGAUAUGACACAGAACACCGAUAGCGAAGGCAGCUCACUAGGCCUGAAUUGACGCUCAGGGACGAAAGCGUGGGGAGCGAACAGGAUUAGAUACCCUUGUAGUC
rnacentral:rRNA from 1 species